rnacentral:rRNA from 1 species
AUUUUAACUGUGCAAAGGUAGCAUAAUCAUUAGUCUUUUAAUUGAAGGCUGGAAUGAAUGGUUGAAUGAGAUAUUAACUGUUUCAUAUAAAUUAAUAAUAAAAUUUUAUUUUUUAGUUAAAAAGCUAAAAUUUGAUUAAAAGACGAGAAGACCCUAUAAAUCUUUAUAUUUAAUUAUAUAAUUAUUAUAUUGAUUAUUUAAAUUUUUAUAGAAUUAAAUAUUUUAUUGGGGUGAUAUUAAAAUUUAAAUAACUUUUAAUUUAUUAAAUACAAAAAUUAUUGAAUUAUUGAUCCAUAAAUAAUGAUUAAGAAAUUAAGUUACUUUAGGGAUAACAGCGUAAUUUUUUUAGAGAGUUCAUAUUAAUAAAAAAGUUUGCGACCUCGAUGUUGGAUUAAGAUAAAAUUUAGGUGAAGAAG